rnacentral:sRNA from 1 species
UUAGUGUUUAUGGAUGGGAUCAUAGAUCUUAGUUUUACAAAAUUUGUGAAGCCAGCAAUCCAGGUUGAGGCAGUGCUCUUCGUAAAUAGGGCGGGCCCAGUUUAUUCACCUGUCCCAUCCUCAGCAGUUCCUUCCCACCUCUGAAAGGAUCCCAGUUUGGGGAGGGGAGUGAGGGGAGGUUUCCCGAAAGAUCAGCCCUCGGGAAGCCCGCCAGUGCCCCCUGGCGGAAGAGGCUAGAAUUUGGCUCUUCCUUUCUUCAAGAGGUUUGCUGUGAUUAUCCAAUCAGAGGAAUAAGCAAGAAGCAACCAGUCAAAAUCGAGUGCGGGACUGAAAUUCCACCAAUAAGGAUGAAAUUCGACCAAUAAGGCUCUCCAAAUAAAAGAAAUACUUUUUGUUGAAUUAAAAACUACCAAGAUGAUGAGGACAGUAACUAGGGAGGUACUACUCGGUGCCGGAGCACCAAGACACUCUGCCCUCUGCCAAACCCGUCACCUGUAGAGCUCUGGGCCAUGCCUGGAACUCACCCUGGAUGCAAGGUUCAGAGCCACAGCUGCUUGGUGACCUGGUUCCUGUAUUAGGCCGCGGUAGCCUCAGCCUCUAACAGGGACACCUUCGGAAUGUAAUCGGCAAAGAGAAUCACCUGGGUGAGUUGUGGGAGACAUUAUACAAGGCCUCUACACACUCGCCCUGCCCACUGUGUGUGGGUCACGUCCCUACCCUUGAGCCCCUGGGAGCUGCUCCAGGCCAGUGCAGCCAGCAGCCUAAGGCAGAGCAGAGCGCCUAGGUGAUACAGACAGAAACUGAAGCAACUGAAGAUGGGGGCUCCACACGCAGAAGUCCUACCCAAGAGAAGGAGCCAGCAGAGGGAAGCAGACUGUGGAUAGAGGGGGAAAGCAUUACGGGCGCCUUAGACACCUCUGCUCUGGAUUGGGGCGGAUGGGUGUGGUCCUGGUCUGUAAAAUGGGACCGUUGAUAUAAGUCUGCAAGUUGUAGAUAAAACCUGCUUCUGUGUUCUAA